GACGAACGCUGGCGGCGUGCUUAACACAUGCAAGUCGAACGGAAAGGCCCUGCUUUUGUGGGGUGCUCGAGUGGCGAACGGGUGAGUAACACGUGAGUAACCUGCCCUUGACUUUGGGAUAACUUCAGGAAACUGGGGCUAAUACCGGAUAGGAGCUCCUGCUGCAUGGUGGGGGUUGGAAAGUUUCGGCGGUUGGGGAUGGACUCGCGGCUUAUCAGCUUGUUGGUGGGGUAGUGGCUUACCAAGGCUUUGACGGGUAGCCGGCCUGAGAGGGUGACCGGCCACAUUGGGACUGAGAUACGGCCCAGACUCCUACGGGAGGCAGCAGUGGGGAAUAUUGCACAAUGGGCGGAAGCCUGAUGCAGCAACGCCGCGUGCGGGAUGACGGCCUUCGGGUUGUAAACCGCUUUCGCCUGUGACGAAGCGUGGGUGACGGUAAUGGGUAAAGAAGCACCGGCGAACUACGU
rnacentral:rRNA from 1 species